UGUCAUUAUUACUUGUCAUUGAACGGUUUGACGGUCACGGUGCUUCUUCUUCUUAUAUUUGUGUUGGCUCCUGCCUCUAAUAUGAGGUCAAUAUGGCCAGCAUUUGCCCCUGUUUGCUUAGGCAACGAGCGGUGCGCUAUUUUGUAUUUGAGUGUUGUCUCUGCCACUUGAGUCGGAGACGGUCACGGUGCGUCUUAUAACCGCUGCUUCUUUCUUGACGUAGUUUAAAAUAUCAGGCCCUACCAUUAGUACCACUUACCACUUCUCGAUCAAGAUGCCAGGAAAAGGCUGUAUGUGCAAAUCAGGCGACUGCAGCCGAUGCAGUUGCACUAAAAAGCAACAACAAUGCACUGAUUCGUGCAAAUGCAAAAAAACUAUUUGUAAUAACUAUGAGAAUCCCAAUAAUCGCAUCGAGGUGCAUCAAGACGUUGAUUUACUAAAGGCAGAAAUAGUUGCCAUUCGAAAAGAUCUAGACGAAUUAAAAAAAAAGAGUACAAUUAUUGGAGGAAUCACUUACAAAUUCGCGUGCCAAUGACAUUCAAGAAAAACAAGAAAAUUUAGAAUUAGAAAGCCAAAAACAUAAGGUGGAUGAAAAAUGCAGGGAGCUGCGUAAGGUCGUGCAAGAAUUAUUAGAGGGCAUAAGAGAUGUUUUGUCCAGUGCGUCCACGAAAGCCGAAAGAAACUGAUUCGAGCAGAUGAAAGCGUUGUGUGAUAUAAACUUCAUUGGCGAUUGUACUAUUGAAGUAGGUAAAUCGGAUGGAUCAAUAUUGCAAGACUUGAAGUAUUAAACAAAAAAGCGAACGAUUUGAAUCUGAGAGUAGUGUCAAAUUAGAUUGUUUAAUAUGUUUU